AUUGAACGCUGGCGGCAGGCUUAACACAUGCAAGUCGAGCGAGCGGCGGACGGGUGAGUAAUGUCUGGGACACUGCCUGAUGGAGGGGGAUAACUACUGGAAACGGUAGCUAAUACCGCAUACCAUCAGAUGUGCCCAGAUGGGAUUAGCUAGUAGGUGGGGUAAUGGCUCACCGAGGCGACGAUCCCUAGCUGGUCGGAGAGGAUGACCAGCCACACGGGAACUGAGACACGGUCCAGAGUCCGAGGGGAGGCAGCAGUGGGGAAGAUUGCACAAUGGGCGCAAGCCUGAUGCAGCCAUGCCGCGUGUAUGAAGAAGGCCUUCGGGUUGUAAAGCACUUUCAGCGAGGAGGCGUUACUCGCAGAAGAAGCACCGGCUAACUCCGUGCCAGCCGCCGCGGUAAUUC
rnacentral:rRNA from 1 species